CGUAGGUGGCGAGCGUUGUCCGGAAUCACUGGGCGUAAAGGGCGCGUAGGCGGUGAUACAAGUCACAUGUGAAAUACCAGGGCUCAACCUUGGGGGGUCAUGUGAAACUGUAUUACUUGAGUGCAGUAGAGGAGAGCGGAAUUCCUGGUGUAGCGGUAAAAUGCGUAGAGAUCAGGAGGAACACCGGUGGCGAAGGCGGCUCUCUGGGCUGUAACUGACGCUGAGGCGCGAAAGCGUGGGGAGCAAACAGGAUUAGAUACCCUGGUAGUCCACGCUGUAAACGAUGAUUACUAGGUGUAGGGGGACGCAGGUCUUCUGUGCCGGAGCAAACGCAAUAAGUAAUCCGCCUGGGGAGUACGGCCGCAAGGUUG
rnacentral:rRNA from 1 species